AGAGACUUAGCUGCUAAUUACAAUCACCAUGUUAGUGCUGCAGUCACAGAAGCAGAUGAAGUAUUCACUUGGGGUGAAUUCAAUGGCCAAAAACACCUCAUUCCGACAAAAACCUCAUUCACAACACUGGAUGAAGUUUUUGCGAAAAUUCCAAAUUACGCCCUUACAUUUCGACCAUUGCGUACAAAUCUUGAUGAUGAGCCAACAGAUGAAAGGAACGCCACAAACGAAUUGCCGGAAUGGUUCAAAAAAUCGUUUGGUGACGUCGAAUCUGCUGACGUUGUUUUUGUGGUCGAGGGAAAGAAAAUCCACGCGCACAAAAAUAUUUUGAUAAUGCGUUGCACCGUCUUCAGGACCAUGUUCUUGGGCAAUUGGAAAGAAAGCAACGAAAGG